rnacentral:tRNA from 1 species
UGCGCGAGUUGCGCGGCGGCUUGCGUCGCGGCUUCGAGCGUCGCGUGGUCCUGCAGUUCGAUGCCGGUUUCGGCCAGC